CCUUGGAAUCCAAUACAUAGUAUUGAUUCCAAUAUGGAAGAUAAGGGUUUAAAAAAAUGUUGGGGAAAGUAGUCUAGAAAGCUUCAGAAGAGAUCAUGGAGAGGGAGAAGAGAGGAUCAUGAACAAUAGGAAGGAGCAGAUAGAGCAUUGAAGGUAAAUUGGAACCUUUGUUAGUGAAUGUUAGGAGUGAAUGGCUUUGAAUUUCUCUUGGUUAUGUCAGUUAGCCCUGUUUGCAUUUGUAUAUUUGUGGCCCACAUGCACCUAGUCUAAUAACUGCUGAACUGGUUGUUACCAUUAUUAUUUAAAACCCUUACCUUCCAUCUUGGAAUCAAUCCUGGGUAUUGGUUCCAAGGCAGAAGAGUGGUAAGGGCUAGGCAAUGGGGGAUAAGUGACUUGCCCAGGGUCACACAGCUGGGAAGUGUCUGAGGCCAUAUUGAACCCAGGACCUCUGAGCCUGGCUCUCAAUCCACUGAGCCAGCCACUUAGUUGCCCUCGGUUGUUAUUAUUUUAAAGGAAAAAAAGGCUGUAUGGGCCAGCAAAACUGGUUUGUACUGGUUCUUUAAUUGUUCAAGGAAAUAGAGUGGGAGGACAACAAUCUUUUGAGAGGAGGAGGAAAAGACACCAAUAGCCCCAAGGGUGAGUUGAAGAAAUGGAGAAAAUCAAUCUGACAUUUUUGUAACCAUACAGAUGACAAGGAGGUCCAAUUCAAACCCUAGACUUAUUUUCUUUUCCUUUAGAUAAAACAAAGAAACGACAGAAGCAACAAAAAUUCUGUGAUUAGAAAGCUGUCCUCCGGCGUUGUGUAAGCUUCCCGAAUGACUACUUGAAAGAAUAGCCUAAUGUGGCUCCUGGCACCAUUGGUCUGAACUGGAAGACUCUAAUUGCCCAGGGAUUUCAAAACCCAGAAGGAAACUUAGAAUCAUAAAACUUGAAAGCUGAAAGAGGCCCUGAAGACCAUCUAGUCUGACAUUCAAAAUAUGAAUCUCUUGUCCAACAACAUGUCCAACAAGUGGUCAUCUGGCCUUUACUGAAAGACCUUCAAUGAUGAGGGAUCUACUGUCCAUUCAAGGCAACCUUAUCUAUUGUUGGAAAGCCCUUCUGCAUGUGACAUCAUCUAAUAAAUAAUUUAUUCACAGAUGAGGAAACUGAGGUCCAGAGAAGGUUAAAAAAAUUACCCUUAAUCUUAGAGCCCCAUCCAAUUUCCAUUGCCAAGAAAAAACGAACUUGUGCAAAAGAACAAACAAACAUAAAGUACCACUGGAGAGGCUGUGGGGAAGACCUAUUUGAAAGUAUUAACAAAGAAGGAAUUUUGUAGCUGUAACUAAUCAUGCCCCACAGGCCACCAUUCCAUUAGCUAUCAAAGAGGUUUCCAGAUUUUGUGGUGUUUGGUUUUCACUUAAAAAAACAAACAAACUGUAAAUACUUCUAUAAACAACAGCUAUAUUUCUCCCUUAAAUUCCAACCAUUUGAGACAACUGACCAUUAUUACUCCCUCUCCUAUUAUUCUCCCUACAUCCUGCUGGGGCUUCCAAAGCAGUUAUUUAUAAUUUCACCCAUGGAGUGUUGGUGAUCUCUCAUUUACUUAGUGUUUCUAAGAAAUACCCUUAGCACUGUUAUGGUUGCUGCAUUUUAAAAAAUACCCCCAUUUCAUCAAUCUUUGGGCUUUUUAUUCCUCCUUCAACUCAUUGGAAUGGGCAUUGCUGUCUAGUGAUGAAAAAGCCAUGUGCAGCUCUUAGAAUACAAUUUUGAAGGUGGAGUUUGAGUCAAUCAAUCAAUUACCCCACUUCCUAGUGAAGAACCAGCUCCUAUGCCCUUCCCUGACCCUCUUGCCCCUAGACCCCCUGCAGGCAAGUCACCACACUCUGUAUACCCCUUCCCUGACCCCCUAGAGCCCCUGCAGUCAAGUUACUGAAGAACCAGUGACAGCACCCUGGAAUGUGCUAGGAACUGAUAAGGACUCCAGCCCCAGGAGUUCCUGUUCACUCCCACUACCACAAAAGUGUAUAAAAAGCCUGCAAGUCCCAGACUCGGGGCCAGCCAUUUUUUAGGGCUGAACCCCAAACUGCAGUUUGGUUAAUAAAACUCCCUUCUGUGUGAUA